rnacentral:rRNA from 1 species
CAGCCGUAAACUAUGCGCGUUAGGUGUAUCGGUGACCACGAGUCACCGAGGUGCCGAAGGGAAACCGUGAAACGUGCCGCCUGGGAAGUACGGUCGCAAGGCUGAAACUUAAAGGAAUUGGCGGGGGAGCACAACAACGGGUGGAGCCUGCGGUUUAAUUGGACUCAACGCCGGACAACUCACCGGGACGACAGCAAUAUGUAGGCCAGGCUGAAGACCUUGCCUGAAUCGCUGAGAGGAGGUGCAUGGCGUAGACGUCU